GCCUGUUCCAAGAUUAGGAUUCUCACCACCUUGAGUGGGUAAGACCCCCUACAGACUAUGGGGUUGAUAGGCCAGAACUGGAAGCGCAGUAAUGCGUGCAGGUGACUGGUACUAAUCGGUCGAGGACUUACCACACA
rnacentral:rRNA from 1 species